UGAUGACCACAUGGGUGGCCUGGCCAGUGAAUAAAAUACAAGGAAAGGGAGGGUGGGCAGACCAUCAGUAAUCUUCCCAUGGGAUCUUCUGAGAUAGGUUCCAUAAACCACCUAGAAAGGAAAGUUGGCGGUAAGUCUACUUGUGCAACACAGUUACCAUUAUUUUCUGUAAGGGAGUUAACAUAAUGCACAUGGCAAUGCAUUUUGGUCAGUCUUUUUAUUUCUUUUUAUAAAAAGAUUAUGUAUCUACUAAUUUGAAAGGCAGAGUGACAGAGAGGGAAAGAAAGACAGAGAGGUUUUCCAUGUACUGUUCACUUCCCAAAUACCCAAAGCAGCCAGGGCUGGGCCAGGCAGAAGCCAGCAACCAGGAGCCAGGAAUUCCUUUCUAGUCUGCCACAUGGGUAGCAGGAGCCCAGGUACUUGGACCAUCAGGUGCAUUAACAGGAAGCUGGAUUAGAAGCAGAGCAGUUCGGACUCAAACCUGCACUCUGAUAUGGGAUGCCAAUAUCACCAGCAGUGGCUUAGCCAGCCUUGCCACAAAGCCUGCUCCUUGAUGAGUGUUUUUUUUUUAAAUAAAUAUUGUUUUCCAUGACUUUGCUAUUGAUUCCUUUUUCCUGAUCUCUUUGGUUCUUAAGGAAAGAUAGUUCAUAUUCUCUGUGCGUCAGGACUUCUUCAUAAACCAGUGAUUCUCAAAUUUUGUGAGCACUGGAGUAAUACAAGCCCUUUUCCAAAGAUACAGAAGCCUCUUGGAUUACAAUUAAGUUCAUCUAGAGUGGAGCUGCCAUGUGUUAAAUUUGACAAUCCAUGGAAAUCAUAGCAUGAAAUGGGAGAAUGGAGUAUGGGACAUGUGCAUGUCCUGUUCAGUGUUCCUCAGCACGUGACAAAUGACAGCUCAUUUCUGCCAUCCUAGUCUCUGUUCUCAUUUUUCCCAGUAAUUUGGUGCAAGUCCCAAGUGUCUCAUCAUUUCAUCAGGACACUGUCAGCCUACAAGAAGUUCCCAGGUGAUUCUUACACAUCAUCAGGGUUGAGAAUUCCAAGACAAGAAGAGUCUUUUUUCUCAAUGAGAAGUCCUAAGACACAAGCACUGUCCUCUGGAUGUCAUUCUUUUCAGACAUGUCUGCCCAACAAGGCAUUACAGAUUUACUACAAUGCACAGCUGUAUCUGUGGUUAUCAGUGAUAAUUGUAAUAUUCCCUUUUAUAAAAAUAUUUGUUUUAUUUAUUUGAAAGUCAGAGGAACAGAGAGACAGACACAGACAGAAAGCGAUCUCUUAUUUGCUGAUUCAUUCUGCAAAUGGCUGCCACAGCUGGGGUUGGGCCAGGGCAAAGCCAGAAGCCUGGAACUCCAUCCAGGUCUCCUGUGUGGGUGGUCCUGACUUAAGUUUUUCAUUCAUUACCUGCUGCUCCCAAUACAUUAGCAGGAAGCUGGAAUUGGAAGUGAAGCCAGGACUGCAACAGUGACUGCAAACCAGGUGCUCAAUCCACAUGGGACACAAACAUUCCUGCCUGUUCCAUUAUAAUACUCUUUCAUGCUGUGUAGUAAGGGAACUGAUAGCCACUUAAGGCUUUUUAAAUUUUCAUUAGGUAAACUUAAAAAUGCAAUCCAUUGAUUCAAUGAACCACAUUCCAUGCACACCAUAUCUGUGUGUGGCUAAUGUAUGGGAUAAUGCAAGUGCAGAACCCUUCCUUCCACUAAAGUGUCCUGUUGGUCUAGACAUAAGGACCAACCUUCUUAAUCUUCAGCUGCUGAAAGAGGGACCUUCUCAACAGAACAAGAGAUUAUGAGAACUCCAACACCAAGAGAAACUAAAUAUGAUAAAAAAUGAAGCAUCUUUAAAAGUGAAACAUAAAGAGCAUGAUUUUACAAAAGAACUUUUUAAAAAUAAACACUUGCAUCAACCAGCUGUUUUUUAGAAGAAAAUGCAAGCAUGGAUUUGAAGACAAAUAUGCAUCUUAAAGCCAUUCUUAAUUGAGGACAAUGUAUAAAUAUCGAAUUUGGGCAGUUAUCAGAAGACAAAUGGACUCAGAGAUACUGAGAUGUUAGAUCAGUAAGUUGUAGAUAUGCAAUUAAAAUGCAGUUAAAUGCACCAUAACAAUGGAUAUGAGUGUCAGAAAAUGGUAUUGUGGAAGUGAGAAGGCAAACAAAAAAACAUAUUCAAAAAUGUAAGGUCAACUAGGGAGGGUUCCAGGCCCCUAAAGUAACAGGGAGGAGACCGUUUUUUCUGGGAAAGGUUGGGGAACAUGCCAAUUUGGAUUCUCUAUUACUUCCAAAGCUGAGUUGCCAAUCCCUCAAGUAACACCAGUGUAGAAUUAUUAUAAAUGAUUCCAAUAUCUAUCCUGAAAGAAACAUGUUCUUACAAUCAGGAGAAAUGUGUAGUUUCUUCCCAUUGGUGUGAAACCAUUUCUCUACUUUUACAUUCUAAUAUUGAGAUCACAAAGGGAAGCUCUUUGUGCUAUAAUUUUUUCUGUGCUUUGGGAUGGACAUAUCUAUUAUUUAAUUUGAAGAACAAAACAUUUGGAUGUGGUGAUCAUUGCUGGAUAUCCCAAUAAUCUAUGAGUAGCAAUUGUUAAUGCAUGUACACUUGUGUUACAUAUGAUUGAAAAGAAAUAUGUUUCACUAUGUACAACAGUGCUGAGGAUUUUCUUUGUACACCAUGGCUGCAGCAGAGCAAUUUAUAUAUUUCAAUGGAUUCUUUGUCAGAUCAACACAGCAAGAAGUAUAAAUAAUGAAUCAGAAAAAUGUUCUGAGCACUACAGAUGAACUUUAGAAUACCACUCUACGUGGAGGGUGGGACUUAUGCCCCAAGAUGGUGACCCACCAUGGGAACUUCCACCCUCAUAGUAAGAUGGGCAACAGACUCCGCCCCAAGGUGGUGGCCCCCAUGACCAACCACAUACUACAUGGCUGAUUAAUAGAGCAAUGUAUAUUAAAUCAUAUUUUAUUAUGUUAGCUUGUUACUUUCGCCUCUGAGCUGGACUUUAUUAUGUUAGUUUGUUGUUUUCACCUCUGAAUAAGAUUUAACUACGUUAUUUCCUUAUUUUUCCCUCUGACUAUGAUUUUAUACAUUAAGCUCUAUAAUAGGUAUAGUAGCUCUGAGAUGUCAGAUUAAGUGUUAAGGUAGAUGAUCAGAGAUAUAACUGGGCCAAAGCUUAGCCCUAUUUACCUCCUGUCUCCCCAGGUUACAAGGUGAUUUUAAAAGAAUUUAUUUAUUUGACAGGUAGAGUUACAAACAGUGAGAGAGAGAGACAGACAGAAUGGUCUUCCAUCCAUUGGGUCACCUCCCAAAUGGCCACAACAGCUGGAGCUACGCUGAUCCAAAGCCAGGAGUCAGUUGCCUCCUCCUGGUCUCCCAUGCAGUGCAAGGGCCCAAGCACCUGGGCCAUCCUCCACUGCUUUUUCUGGGCCACAGCAGAGAGCUGGACAGUAAGAGGAGCAACCAGGACUAGAACCCGGUGUCCAUAUGGGAUGCUGGCUCUGCAGGCAGAGGAUUAGCCUAGUGCACCACAGCGCUGGCCCCACAAGGUGAUUUAACUAUGGAUAGUUAUAUAUCUGCUCCUUUGGAGACUCCAUGACAGAUAUACACUUAAUAAUUGGGAGGCCCUUUGACUAGAAGGAUUAAGAAAUUAUAGCUAAUGCAAUGUAUCCAUGUAAAAUGCUUAAGAAUAAUUAAGCUCAUGAAGACCUGUGUCUGUUUUUAUUUUCUCAGGUCCUACAGAGACUGUAAAGCUGUAUAGCUCUGCAUACAUUCCUACAGACUUACUUCUAAGGAUCCCAAGAAGGAAAUUACAAGUCUGAAGUCAACAGCAAACCCAGGAAGGAAAGGACAGCAUUUACCAAGAGCAAAUCUGAGGACUAGAAGCAGAAUUUGCCCAUCACAACUAUGUGACUAGACUGAGGAGAUACAAGAUAGCAGAGAAUCUGGAUCUCACCAAAAGACAGGUGAAAGUGUGGUUCCAGAAGAGGAGGAUGAAGUGGAAGAGGGUAAAAUUGGGCCAGCUGGGCACUGCUGCCUGAGAAAAGGAACUGGUGAACGUGAAGAAAGGAACCCUGCUCCCUUCAGAGCUGUCAGGGAUUGGUGCGGCCACGCUCCAGCAAACAGGGGACUCUCUGGACAAUGAAGACAGCCAGAACAGUGACCACAGCUCAGAGCAUGCACACUUAUGAUCCACACAGACAGGACCAGCUUCAUUCUCAGGAAAGAAGCACCAUGAUGGCAAGCCUUACCCAACAGAGUUUACACAGAGAGAUGGCCAUGGCCAUGAUUUUUAAUAUUAUUAAAUUCAGGCAUCAUGGGUCUGUUUUGCAUGAUUUAUAGAGGAAGGAAGUGCCACUUAUCAAAGAUGCUUCCAUGAUGAAAAUCAGAAGGUGAAUUUUCUUUGAAUAGUCCAGAGAUGUUUGGUUGUGUGUAUGACAGUGAGCAGGUAUGUUUGCCUUUGCUUGAACUGAAAAAUUAAAUGGGUACUAAGAACAAAUUAUGACACAUUUCUACACGAGAUGCUUCCAGAGUGAAAACGUUGAAGAUGAACUUGCUUUAAAUUCUCAAAUGUACGAGUUCAUGUUUAUGACAGUGGGCAGGUAUUUGCUUUUGCUUGCACUGAGAAAUCGCCAUCAAGAAUAAAACAUAAAACCUUUUAUCCUGAACAGCAAAAGUGCCUGAGAUCACUCAAAUAGAUUUUUAAAAAAGGAUGCAGUUUAACUCUGUAUAUAUUAUCCUUAAGUCAUUUUCCUGUCUUCACUAAUUUUAGCAAUUCAUUCAUAUUAGCUGAUGAAAAUAGGCACUGAUAAUGCCAGCCAGGCCAGCUUCCUGCCUUUUUAUGCAUGUGUCAUUCUGAGACAAUCCGUAUGCACUUACUUGUGUACAAGUAGAGAAACAUACAGUAGUCUGAUAUGACAUAUUCUUGUACCACAGACAAAACAAACAUUAUGUUGCAUUUACUAUCACUGCUGCUAAUAUGUUAUUAUACAACUUACCUAGCUCCUCCUUGAUUCGUCCUAUCUUGUAGCUUGAAAAAAAAAUAGGAUCAUAGGCAUAUCAGUUACUUUGUGGAGAGAGCUUUGUUGUGGCAGACACUGUCUGAUUUUAUUUUAUUUUUUUGACAGGCAGAGUGGACAGUGAGAGAGAGAGACAGAGAGAAAGGUCUUCCUUUGCCGUUGGUUCACCCUCCAAUGGCCACCGCGGCCGGCGCGCUGCGGCCGGCGCACCGUGCUGAUCCGAUAGCAGGAGCCAGGAGCCAGGUGCUUUUCCUGGUCUCCCAUGGGGUGCAGGGCCCAAGCACCUGGGCCAUCCUCCACUGCACUCCCUGGCCACAGCAGAGGGCUGGCCUGGAAGAGGGGUAACUGGGACAGAAUCCGGCACCCCGACUGGGACUAGAACCCGGUGUGCUGGCGCCGCUAGGCGGAGGAUUAGCCUAGUGAGCCGCGGCGCCCGCCCCUGAUUUUAUUUCUAUAAAAUUAAA